AUGCCGAUCUCGAAAACCUGUCCCAGUUCGGACUGAAGUCUGCAACCCGACUCCACGAAGUUGGAUUCGCUAGUAAUCGCGCAUCAGCCAUGGCGCGGUGAAUACGUUCCCGGGCCUUGUACACACCGCCCGUCAAGCCAUGGGAGCCGGGGGCGCCUGAAGUCCGGGACCGCGAGGACCGGCCUAAGGCGAAACUGGUGACUGGGGCUAAGUCGUAACAAGGUACC
rnacentral:rRNA from 1 species